UAGAGAAUGUGGCCAAAGAGACACCUAGGCUCAUAAAGGCCAGAAUUCUGACUCCAUGUUCUAUGAGGUCACAAGAGCUAAUUCUCCAGCAUAGCUGAAAGUUCCAAUGUCAAGUUCUCUGGGGACACAGAAUACUAGAGUGCUGCAGACAUGGAGCUCUGCCCUUCCUCCAGCCCCAGCCUGCGCACCUUAGCUCUGGCUGCCCCUUCUGUGCAUCAGCUGGAAUUCCCCAGGAGGUAGAGGAGGUUUUGCACAGGGGAAGGCCGUCAAUCACCGGAACUGGGAGGGUAGGACCGUGCUGAGAGGGGAACCCAAGUUCUCAUUCAGGGUGGAGCAACAGCUAAGUCCUGACCAACCUGAGGCAGGCUCGACCUGAUGAAGGGACAGCUCAUCGGGAUCCCUUGUAGUAGCUGGCUCCCCUACAGUCUGGAAUGCCUCAGGGCCAACGUGGGAUCAAGCAGGAAAAGGAAACUGCUGGAUUAACUGUGCCAAACUCAAAUCACUAUGUUCAGUGAAUUACAAGGAGCCAAAGGAAAUGAUGAGGGUAGAUAAGAGACUAAGGUGAACCAAAUGUCCCUAGAGGCUCUAACUGCUGUAUGCGCUUGAUCCCACCAUCCUACUAUCCCUUGUGCCAUAGGUGAGCAUGUGACGAGCGACUACUUGGAGCCAAACAUUUAUGUCCUCCUGAGUCAACUUGUGAAGCUACACACAUGAGACAGUGUGGGUAUGCUGCAUAAUCAGGUUCUUCCUUGAAGACCACUCAUCUCGCUGGUUGAUUCUUGAUGAGGCAGGUGGCAGGAGCUUGGCUUGUUUGAACCCUUCAGGGUCAGAAGUGGAGCAAGAAGACUAGGUUCUCAGAUACUGAGCUAUAAUCACCAACGUUCCUGCAACCUGCUAUUGAUUUCCAAGAAGGACAACUUCUGCCCAGUGGAUGUUGAAUCUCUGACAGAUUAAGUGGGAAGGCACACAGCAGUUCUUUGUUCUAUGCCAGGGAGGCCCGAUGCAACUCAAGUGAGUCAAACCUUCAGAGACCCCCUCUUAAGCAUCGCCAUGGUGAAGGGGCUCCAUCUGUUUCUGUGACAGUAAUCCUACCUCACCUUCUUAAAGUCUGCUCUAGUAAAAACUUAAGAAAAGGGAUUUUUUUCUGUCUAUGAAAUAGGUGUCAUAAAAGAGGGACAGCGACUAGCAAGAUGGCUCGGCAGGCAAAGGCUCCUCCUGCCAACCCUGCCAACCUGUGCUUCAUUCCUGGCACCCACAAAGUAGGAGAAGAGAACCAGCUUCUUCAAGCUGUUCUCUGACUGCCACACAUGCUACGGCAGUCUGGCGGAUGGAAUCCCUGAAGUGGCAGUUUACCAGAGAUGGAGACGCAGAAGUUUCCAGCUCUCCAUGCUAGAAACAGCAUUUGCAUUGUUCUUGCCUGGGAAAUGGAUUACUGUUUCAAAAAUAGGGCUACCCUCGUGGCAAGGAUCAUUCUGAGGCAUCAAUAGCAGGUCUUCUCAGAUCAUUUUGGACCAGGUGCCUUUCUCUGGACAUUUAUGACAAAUUCCUUUGGAUAAGGCUGGGUCUGCAGGAGAAUCUUCAUCAGAUGCAAUCAAAGUAUAAAGUGGGUCACAUAAAAAAUCAACCAUGACUAACAUUUGAACCCAAGCUAGUUACUUGUAGAGUCAAAGUGUGUGAUCAUAGCCCUCUGGUACCUGUGUUGUGUUUUGAGGAAAGAAGAAGGAGGAAGGAAGAAGGAGGAAGGAGGAAGGAGGAAGGAGGAAGGAGAAUGACAAGGUUCAAGGCAAAAUAUACAACUCUUGGUUCAGACUGUUCUCUGAAAAAGUCAAAGAACAAUGGAAGUCUAUAGGAGAGCCCUGGACCCAGAGGUUGGGGAAAUGCUCUCUGGAUCUCUCAUGUCUAGGAUCUACUUCCCACUGUCAACACCAAAUUAUAGUACAGAAAGAUGCUUUAACACAGCUCCAAGCUGCAUCAGUCACUUCCAUUGGGUUUUAUUGGUCUUUGAGAGUUUGCCUACUGAAUAGUAAGUCUGAGGACCAACUCAUGUCCCAAGUCAGAGCAAACUGCUGUCAUCUUCGAUGUGACUUGAAAAGUCACAUGGAGAGAAGUCAGUUUUGCAUUCAGCACGGGAUGUUUUCAGAGUGUGAGGACAUACCCACCAUCUUGGGAUGAUAUCCAUUUCAGUAUGUUAAAAGUGUUUGCAAACAUAAAAUAUAUAAAGGCAUAACACAAAUGGCAUAUACAGGCCAUCAACUCUUUGAAAAGGUCAGUUUCCCUAAAACAAGUUAAGGGAGGCGCAUAUGAAGCAUGGCUGGCCUUUGAUGCUUGCAGAUUUAAGCUAACAGCACGUAGACAUGUUGCUAAGGCGUGAAUGGAGAUGCUUUACUAUAUGGUCAGCACACAGGGAAGGGCACACUACUCGGGGAGACAGGGAGCCUGGCCAGGGGGCUGGGUCCCACUUCUGGCACUAUUCUCCAACACAUGUGUGCAGUGAUUCUCAGGUAGUGGCAAAACCUUCACUCCCUUGUAAAAAAAAAAUUGUGGCCCUUGAGCCCUUAUCAAAGUCAGAAGAGGAAACAAGUAUGCGGCUGUGCAAAGCAGACUUUCUGUACUUUCUAUCCCACAGUUCUGAGAACAGCUAGGGAUGUGCAUGGGAUGAGCCCGUGCCUCGAGUGUGCUGUUGAAUCAGGAGCCCUGUUUGCCCGUCCUCAUCUCUGGGUCAAGGGACCAGAUGUACAGCCUUACUCCCCCAGUCCACUGGGACCAACCUCACUUACUGAGGUCACGGUAUAUCUUUGGUAUCGGUCCACAAAGUCUCUAGCUCACUGUACCUAGCUCUUAACCUGGGUCCACAGCUCUUCAAACACGUAAGGAGAUGUAUCUCCUAUGAAACUCUUCCUUCUACGAUAAUCCAUUUAAACUCACUUUUCUAUUCUUCUGAACUUGAAUGGCCCUUGGCACUUAUAUUCCAGGGUCAGACAGCUUGGCCAUAGUUAUCUGUCUGCCAUCAGUACUACUUACACUAUUACCACCAUCACCACCAUCACCACCACCACCACCAUCAUCCUCAUAAUCAUCAUCCCCAUCACCAUCAUCAUCACCACCACCACCACCACCACCACCACCACCACCACCACCACCA